AGAGUUUGAUCUUGGCUCAAGAUGAACGCUGGCGGCGCGCCUAACACAUGCAAGUCGAACAGCACCCCUCUCCGGAGGGAAGCGAGUGGCGAACGGCUGAGUAACACGUGGAGAACCUGCCCCCUCCCCCGGGAUAGCCGCCCGAAAGGACGGGUAAUACCGGAUACCCCGGGGUGCCGCAUGGCACCCCGGCUAAAGCCCCGACGGGAGGGGAUGGUUCCGCGGCCCAUCAGGUAGACGGCGGGGUGACGGCCCACCGUGCCGACAACGGGUAGCCGGGUUGAGAGACCGACCGGCCAGAUUGGGACUGAGACACGGCCCAGACUCCUACGGGAGGCAGCAGUGGGGAAUCUUGCGCAAUGGGGGGAACCCUGACGCAGCGACGCCGCGUGCGGGACGGAGGCCUUCGGGUCGUAAACCGCUUUCAGCAGGGAAGAGUCAAGACUGUACCUGCAGAAGAAGCCCCGGCUAACUACGUGCCAGCAGCCGCGGUAAUACGUAGGGGGCGAGCGUUAUCCGGAUUCAUUGGGCGUAAAGCGCGCGUAGGCGGCCCGGCAGGCCGGGGGUCGAAGCGGGGGGCUCAACCCCCCGAAGCCCCCGGAACCUCCGCGGCUUGGGUCCGGUAGGGGAGGGUGGAACACCCGGUGUAGCGGUGGAAUGCGCAGAUAUCGGGUGGAACACCGGUGGCGAAGGCGGCCCUCUGGGCCGAGACCGACGCUGAGGCGCGAAAGCUGGGGGAGCGAACAGGAUUAGAUACCCUGGUAGUCCCAGCCGUAAAGAAUGGAAGGUAGGUGGGGGGGGGCGAUCCCCCCGUGCCGCAGCCAACGCAUUAAGCGUCCCGCCUGGGGAGUAACGGCCGCAAGGCUAAAACUCAAAGGAAAUGACGGGGGCCCGCACAAGCAGCGGAGCAUGUGGCUUAAUUUGAAGCAACGCGAAGAACCUUACCAGGGCUUGACAUAUGGGUGAAGCGGGGGAGACCCCGUGGCCGAGAGGAGCCCAUACAGGUGGUGCAUGGCUGUCGUCAGCUCGUGUCGUGAGAUGUUGGGUUAAGUCCCGCAACGAGCGCAACCCCCCCCGCGUGUUGCCAUCGGGUGAUGCCGGGAACCCACGCGGGACCGCCGCCGUCAAGGCGGAGGAGGGGGGGGGGGACGUCAAGUCAUCAUGCCCCUUAUGCCCUGGGGUGCACACGUGCUACAAUGGCCGGUACAGAGGGAUGCCACCCCGCGAGGGGGAGCGGAUCCCGGAAAGCCGGCCCCAGUUCGGAUUGGGGGGUGCAACCCGCCCCCACGAAGUCGGAGUUGCUAGUAAUCGCGGAUCAGCAUGCCGCGGUGAAAAAGGUCCCGGGCCUUGCAC
rnacentral:rRNA from 1 species